CUGAGGAUAAUAUUUCAUAGUUGAAAAGGCUUGGAAAAGUUUUUCAAUGAGAGGGUUAAAAUAAAUGGUUUUUAAUUGCCAUAGGAUAGGAUCGUGCUCGAUUAUGGUAGUUGGUGAGGUAAUGGCUCACCAAGCCGAUAAUCGAUAGGGGCCGUGAGAGCGGGAGCCCCGAGAUGGGUACUGAGACAACGACCCAGACCUUACGAGGUGCAGCAGACGCGAAACCUCCGCAAUACACGAAAGUGUGACGGGGUUACCCAAAGUGUUCUUAUAGAACUGUGGUAGGUGAGUAAUGUUCCCUACUAGAAAGGAGAGGGCAAGGCUGGUGCCAGCCGCCGCGGUAAAACCAGCUCUUCAAGUGGUCGGGAUAAUUAUUGGGCUUAAAGUGUCCGUAGCCGGUUUAGUAAGUUCCUGGUAAAAUCGAGUAGCUUAACUAUUCGUAUGCUAGGAAUACUGCUAAUACUAGAGGGCGGGAGAGGUCUGAGGUACUACUGGGGUAGGGGUGAAAUCUUAUAAUCCUAGUAGGACCACCAGUGGCGAAGGCGUCAGACUGGAACGCGCCUGACGGUGAGGGACGAAAGCCAGGGGAGCGAACCGGAUUAGAUACCCGGGUAGUCCUGGCCGUAAACGAUGCAUACUAGGUGAUGGCACGGCCAUGAGCCGUGUCAGUGCCGUAGGGAAACCGUUAAGUGUGCCGCCUGGGAAGUACGGUCGCAAGGCUAAAACUUAAAGGAAUUGGCGGGGGAGCACCACAAGGGGUGAAGCCUGCGGUUUAAUUGGACACAACGCCGGGAAACUUACCAGGGGAGACAGCAGUAUGACGGUCAGGUUGACGACCUUACCCGACGAGCUGAGAGGAGGUGCAUGGCCGUCGCCAGUUCGUGCCGUGAGGUAUCCUGUUAAGUCAGGCAACGAACGAGAUCCGCGCCUUUAUUUGCCAGCAAGAAGUUAUGACUUCGUUGGGAACUCUAAAGGGACCGCCACCGAUAAGGUGGAGGAAGGAGCGGGCAAAGGCAGGUCAGUAUGCCCCGAAACCCCUGGGCUACACGCGGGCUGCAAUGGUAUGAACAAUGGGCAGUAACUCCGAAAGGAGAAACCAAUCCCGAAAUCAUAUCUCAGUUGGAAUUGUCGGCUGUAACUCGCUGACAUGAACGUGAAUCCCUAGUAAUCGUGUGUCAUCAUCGCACGGUGAAUACGUCUCUGCUCCUUGCACACACCGCCCGUCGCUCCAUCCGAGUGUACUAAAAAUGAGGUUUGGUCAGUCUGGUCAUAUCGAGUUUCUAGUAUGCGAGGAGGGAGAAGUCGUAACAAGGUA
rnacentral:rRNA from 1 species